rnacentral:rRNA from 1 species
AGAGAUCGAAUUAUAUUUAUAAGGUAAAAAGGCAGUUAAAUAUUUUAUUAAAAGCUUGUUGAUUUUUUAUAUAAAGGUAAAAUUUAAAUAUAAAGUAAUAAUAUUAUCUAAGCUAUUAAUAUUGAAUCUGCGACAACCUAGAGGGAAACUGGGAUUAGAUACCCCAUUAUUCUUGGAUUUAAAUAAAUGUAAAUUUACCAGAGUACUAUGAAUCUUAUUAAAAAUUUAAAACUCAAAGAGCUUGGCGGUGUUUUAGACCUCUCAGGGGAACCUGUCUCUUAAUCGACAAUCCACGUUAAACCUAACCCUUUUUAGCGUAACAGUUUGUAUACCAUCGUCGUCAGGUAACUUUUAAAAAUUUAGAAGUUGGCAACUAAAUAUUUAUGAAUUUAGACGUCAGAUCAAGGUGCAGCUUAUAUAAGGGUGAGGAUGGGUUACAAUUAAUAAUUAUAAAUACGGAUAUAAUAAUGAAAUAUGUAUUAUAAUGAAGGAGGACUUGAAAGUAAGGAUAAUUUAUAUAAAGACAAUCUGAAUUAGGCUCUGAAACAUGC